GACGAACGCUGGCGGCGUGGAUUAGGCAUGCAAGUCGGACGGUAGAGCUUUAUCGUAAGAUAGAGUUUGAGAGUGGCGAACGGGUGAGUAACACGUAGGAAUCUACCCUUAAGACGGGGACAACCCAGGGAAACUUGGGCUAAUACCGGAUGAGAGUGCGAGAGAUUGCAUUUAAAAGGAUGGCGAAAGUUGUCGCUUAGGGAUGAGCCUGCGGUCUAUUAGUUAGUUGGUGAGGUAAGAGCUCACCAAGGCGAUGAUAGAUAGGCGGCCUUAACGGGUGGUCGCCCACACUGGGAUUGAGAUACGGCCCAGACUCCUACGGGGGGGCAGCAGUGAGGAAUAUUGGGCAAUGGGCGAAAGCCUGACCCAGCAACGCCGCGUGGAGGAUGAAGGCUUUAGGGUUGUAAACUCCUUUUGUGGGGGAAAAGAAUGGAUGGUACCCCAAGAAUAAGUCACGGCUAACUACGUG
rnacentral:rRNA from 1 species